AUGGCGACGCGGCAGCACAACCCGAAAUCCAAGACGCUCGGCAACAAAUACAUGCUGGGGGACGAGAUAGGGAAGGGGGCGUACGGGCGCGUCUACAAGGGGCUUGACCUGGAGAAUGGCGACUUCGUGGCCAUCAAGCAGGUCUCGCUGGAGAACAUCCCGCAGGAGGAUCUCAAUAUUAUCAUGCAAGAAAUUGAUCUAUUGAAAAAUCUCAAUCACAAAAAUAUUGUGAAGUAUCUUGGAUCAUUGAAGACAAAUAGCCAUCUUCAUAUUAUUUUAGAAUAUGUGGAGAAUGGUUCACUAGCCAAUAUUAUCAAGCCAAACAAAUUUGGACCAUUUCCUGAAUCAUUAGCAGCUGUCUACAUUGCUCAGGUGUUGGAAGGUCUUGUCUAUCUGCAUGAGCAAGGUGUCAUACAUAGAGAUAUCAAGGGUGCAAAUAUAUUAACAACUAAAGAGGGCCUUGUUAAACUUGCUGAUUUUGGAGUUGCUACUAAAUUAACUGAAGCCGAUGUCAACACACAUUCAGUGGUUGGAACCCCAUACUGGAUGGCCCCCGAGGUUAUUGAAAUGUCUGGUGUUUGUGCCGCAUCAGAUAUCUGGAGUGUUGGUUGCACAGUUAUUGAGCUACUCACUUGUUCCCCACCAUAUUAUGAACUGCAGCCUAUGCCUGCACUAUUUCGCAUUGUUCAGGAUGUGCAACCACCAAUACCAGAAGGAUUCUCUCCCGAGAUUACUGAUUUUCUCCGGCAAUGUUUUCAGAAGGAUUCAAUACAACGGCCUGAUGCGAAGACAUUGUUGAUGCACCCAUGGUUGCAGAACUCGAGACGGGCCUCGCCAUCUCCCCGGCAGACUCAUCCGAGGCAUAUUGACAUGGAUGAUGAAGUCCCAAGUAGCGAUAAUCACGCCGGGUUUUCUGAUCCACCAGGAGAUACACAAGCACCUGUUGCUUCUGACAUUGAGCAGGAGGAUGGAACAAAAGAACUGGUUUCUCUAUCUGCGGGACAAGGUAAAUCUGACGAGCUUCAUGAUGGAAAACCUACAGAAAGCAAUAUUUCAAACAGUGCAGAACUUAUGAAAGAUAAUGUGGUUCUCACUAAAGAUCCUACAUUAGUUUUUCAUGAAAAGCUACCAUUGGAAUCUUCUCCUGGAGUUACUGAUUUAAAUGGCAAGAUAAAACAUGAACCUUCACAAGAUGUUCUGCCAACUAAGGUAGCUAGGAGCAGCCAAGAAUCAAAAAACGGUGACAGCAAAGAUUUAGAGCCUGAAAGUAAAGACCAUUCGAGUUUUGAGGAUGAUGAUGCUUUCUCCUUCCAGGCUGGGAAACAGAAUGUCACCUUUCUAGAGGAGGCAAAACCUUUAGUUCCCGAGGGAGCUAAUGGACUGAGUAGAUUCAGUGAUACACCUGGAGAUGCCUCAUUGGAGGAUUUAUUCCCAAUUGACAAGCGAGGAGAUCAUGGGGCUGUAGCUUCAACAUCCACUACCGCUCAAGAGCUCAGGGAUAGGAUGGUGUCACAGAAGCAGAAGGGAAAUGACAAUGUGCCCAUGAAUGGCGGAAAACUUCUUGAAUUAUUUGAGGAAUUUCAUGACAACAUUCCAGGAGAGAAUCUUUUCCCUUUACAGUCUGUGGAAUACAGCAAAAUAGUAGCACAGCUGAAGCCCGGGGAAAGUGAAGAAGUAAUAUUGUCAGCAUGCCAAAAGCUUAUGUUAUUCUUCAGUCACCGGCCUGAGCAAAAACAGAUUUAUGUGUCACAGAAUGGUUUCCUUCCAUUGAUGGAACUUCUUGAACUUCCCAAAAACCGUAUUAUAUGUUCUGUUCUGCAACUCAUCAACUACAUUGUAAAAGAUAAUACGGGCUUCCUGGAAAAUGCCUGUCUUGUUGGCCUAAUACCAGUGGUGAUGAAUUUUGCCGUGCCAGAUCGUGCAAAGGAAGUCCGGAUGCAAGCAUCCUUUUUUCUGCAGCAACUUUGCCAGGCCAGCACCUUGACGUUGCAAAUGUUCAUCGCAUGCCAAGGUAUACCUGUUUUGGUGAGUUUUUUGGAGCCUGACUAUGCAAAAUUUAGCAGGGAAAUGGUUCAUCUUGCAAUUGAUGGCAUCUGGCAGGUCUUCAAGCUUCAGCAUUCAACGCCAAGAAAUGAUUUCUGUCGUAUAGCAGCAAAAAAUGGGAUACUUCUCAGGCUAGUUAAUACUCUUCAUAGCUUGAAUGAAGCAACACGAUUUGCUUCCAUCUCAGGGUCAGGUGCUUCAGUACAGAAUGGUUCCACCCCCCGUCUAAAAUCUGGUCAGCUAGAUGUGCCGAUGCUAGAAAGUUCUAAAGUAAGGCUGGAUCAUUACCAUUCAUCUGGCUCCAUGCAGUCAUUACAAGCAGAUGCUGAUAAGCACCAUAUCUUAUUGGAUCCAUCAGCAUCUCCUAGGUUCAAUGAUAUAUCUGCUGCUGGUCACAUGGAGAGAAAUGAUAAUGACCUGGUAAGGCCACAGCGGCUUAGUGUUUCUGGAGGAAGGUCAUCAACAGACAGAUCUCCCAAGCAUAUAGAAUUAGUAUCAAAUGGACAUAGUAGUGGUCAGAAUGAUCAAAUCCGGCCUUUACUGAGUUUAUUAGAGAAAGAACCUCCCUCUCGUCAUGUAUCUGGACAACUUGAUUAUGCCCGUCACAUGUCUGGACUAGAAAGGCAUGAAAGUAUUUUGCCACUAUUACAUGCUUCAGUAGAGAGGAAAACAAACGGUGAACUUGACUUGCUAAUGGCAGAAUUUGCUGAGGUCUCUAGACAGGGAAGAGAGAAUGGUAACCUUGAUUCUAAUACGAAAGCUUCAAAUAGGAUUCCAAGUAUGAAGUAUGGUCCAACAGCUUCCAAUGAGGGAACAUCAACAUCUGGAGCAGCAUCACAAACAGCAUCGGGCGUGUUAUCUGGAUCAGGAGUGCUCAAUGCAAGAAUGCCAGGAAGUACAACAUCAUCUGGUCUAUUAGCUCAAAUGGUUUCUAUGAGUGCUGAUGUUGCACGCGAGUAUCUUGAGAAAGUGGCAGAUCUUCUUUUGGAGUUUGCACAAGCAGACACUGUUGUAAAAUCUCUCAUGUCUAGCCAAAGCCUUCUCGCACGGCUUUUCCAGAUGUUCAACAAGAUAGAAUCUCCUAUUCUUCUGAAGAUUCUUAGGUGCAUCAAUCAUUUGUCUGGUGAUCCUAAUUGUCUAGAGACACUUCAACGCACAGAUGCUAUCAAGCAUUUGAUACCAAUUCUCGAACUUCGUGAUGGACCUCUAGUUUUUCAAAUACAUAGCGAGGUCCUCAAUGCGCUGUUCAACCUUUGUAAGAUCAAUAAAAGAAGACAGGAACAAGCAGCUGAAAAUGGGAUCAUUCCUCACUUGAUGAAUUUUGUCAUGUCAGACUCGCCGCUAAGGCAGUAUGCUUUGCCUCUUCUUUGUGAUAUGGCUCAUGCUUCUCGCAACUCUAGAGAGCAGUUGAGAGCUCAUGGAGGCCUGGAUGUGUACCUGGACCUGUUAGAGGAUGAUGCAUGGGCAUGUACAGCUUUGGAUUCCAUUGCUGUUUGUUUGGCUCAUGACAAUGAUCACAGAAAAGUAGAGCAAGCCUUGUUGAAGAAAGAGGCCAUUCAAAAGUUGGUGAAAUUUUUUGAAGACUGCCCUGAACAAUAUUUCGUUCAUAUACUCGAUGCUUUCCUCAAAAUAAUCACGAAAUCUUCUCGGAUAAAUACUGCAAUAGCCACCAAUGGUUUGACGACAUUGCUUAUUGCAAGACUUGACCAUCGAGAAGCUAUUGCUCGUUUGACUCUGCUGAAACUAAUAAAGGUUGUCUAUGAGCACCACCCUCGACCAAAGCAGCUUAUAGUGGAGAACGACCUUCCCCAAAAGCUACAAAACCUCAUCGAAGAGCGCAGGGAUGGGCAACGCGGCGGUCAACAAGUGCUGGUCAAACAAAUGGCCACCUCACUGUUGAAGGCAUUGCACAUCAAUACAGUCUUGUGA
rnacentral:rRNA from 1 species